AUGCCCACUGACUGCCCCUUCUCCCUCAUGUAUCCUGCCUUGCACCAGGUUGCUCAAAGCUCACGCUGCAGAAGAGGCAUUUUGCUGGCACCAAAUCCAGCCUCAGGAAGGUUCGGGGAACUGACUCACCACGCAUGCUCUCCCAUCCGCAGGAUCCGGAGUCAUCCUGGCAGGGGUUCAGGGCUGAAGAAAGAAAACGUUUCAAGUGGGACUGGGGAGGGAGGGGACUGGAGCAGCCUUCCCUCCUCCUCCUCCUCCGCAUGCAAGUGCCUUCUGAUUCCAGGCCAGGCAAGCCUGGAGCUUUUUUCCUUUUAUGUGGAUCACGUAGAAAGGGAACUCCAAGGAAGGUUCUGGCAGGCCAGUAACUCCUGUUGCUCAUCUCAUGUUCUUUCAAGGCACAGUGACUGCAGCGAAGCCACCAUUAACAAACACAAUGGUAAUAUCUCCUUCAUCUCUUUCAACUUUAUGUAAGAUUGUCUUGGUUUUGGAUUUUAAAUGACUGCAGCUAAGAGUAACAAGUGAAAGGAGGUAGCUCUUUGUGCUGCAGGUAGUUAGGCUGGGGAAUGCCUUUUAAUUGGGGUGCUGUGGAUUUACCUGUGUUUGUAGAGCAACUGGAGAAAUUCAUGGUAGAGUCAUUCUUAAGGGAUAUCUCCAUUCUUGGAGGUGUCCAAGACUCAGCUGGACAAGUCUCAAGCAACCUGAUCUAGUUAGACCUGCUCUGAGCAGAGACUGGACUACAUGACCUAAAUACACCUGCAGGCAUGCCCUGUUGUAGCAGGAUGCUGGGAAAGUAUUCUGGGGAACAUUGCUCUAAGGGCAAUCCUGUUUUAUUAGUACCCAAUUCCUUUGUUUUUGACUGGUGUUGGAGACAGAGUACUGGGUGAAAGAGUCCCUGCUGGACUCAGUUUGGCUUUUUUUCUCUUUAUUAUUCUAGAACUGUAAGUCACAAACAUUGACAGUUGUCAAAAAGUCUAUUCCAUUAAAUUCAUGAGCAGGAUUAUUUAUUUAAACCAAAUAUCUUCUGUAUGUUUAAGCAUGUAUAUUUAAAAACAGCCACUGCAUCUUGGUUCCUCUGAGAUGUUUUAUGUUUUUAUAUUUUUAUUUGUCCCUUUGGGCCAACAUGUGGGGAUCCUUGUCUUUUUUUCAGAGCUGUCUUAUAAUAAUAGAAAUAAUAGAAAUGAAUAGAAAAAUAGAAGUGAAUUAAUAGAAAAUUCAAAUUUCUGAAGUUUGCCUUUUUUUUUUCUUUUUUUUUUUUCUUUUCCCCCAACAGUACUUCACUCCUUCUUUGGAAAGGUGUGCAAAGAUGGUAGUGUGUGACUUUAGCUCUGCUUGGGGUAUGAAAAAUCUUCCUCGGACAACUAGGCUUAGCCUUAAAUGUGCUAACUUCAUUGAUCACCCCUGCAGUAGCAUCUACACAAACUGACAUUCAGGAACUCUUGAGGCGGAGUUAACUGCUUUAGAUUCUCUGAAA
rnacentral:lncRNA from 1 species